rnacentral:rRNA from 1 species
GACGAACGCUGGCGGCGUGCUUAACACAUGCAAGUCGAACGGAAAGGCCCUGCUUUUGUGGGGUGCUCGAGUGGCGAACGGGUGAGUAACACGUGAGUAACCUGCCCUUGACUUUGGGAUAACUUCAGGAAACUGGGGCUAAUACAGGAUAGGAGCUCCUGCUGCAUGGUGGGGGUUGGAAAGUUUCGGCGGUUGGGGAUGGACGGGCGGGUUAUCAGCUUGUUGGUGGGGUAGUGGCUUACCAAGGCUUUGACGGGUAGCCGGCCUGAGAGGGUGACCGGCCACAUGGGGACUGCGAUACGGCCCAGACGCGUACAGGAGGCAGCAGUGGGGAAUAUUGCACAAUGGGCGGAAGUCGGAGGCGACGGCGCCGCGGGCGGGAUGACGGUCUGCUGGUUGUGAACCGCUUUAGCCUGUGACGAAGCUGGAGUGACGGUAAUGGGUAAAGAAGCACCGGCUAACUACGUG